rnacentral:pre_miRNA from 1 species
GAAAAUUGCAGAAAUGGGAGUUCCUUGCAGCCCAAAACAGUGGUUAUAUAUGCGUCUGAGAUAUACUGCUCAUUGUUUUGGACUGAAGGGAGCUCCUAAUUCUUCUCUUUUC